rnacentral:rRNA from 1 species
UGGGCAACCUGCCCCUAGCUCUGGGAUAACUCCGGGAAACCGGGGCUAAUACCGGAUACGACCUCGAGCGGCAUCUCUUGAGGUGGAAAGUUUUUCGGCUAGGGAUGGGCCCGCGGCCUAUCAGCUUGUUGGUGAGGUAACGGCCCACCAAGGCGACGACGGGUAGCUGGUCUGAGAGGACGACCAGCCACAUUGGGACUGAGAUACGGCCCAGACUCCUACGGGAGGCA